rnacentral:rRNA from 1 species
GACGAACGCUGGCGGCGUGCCUAAUACAUGCAAGUCGAGCGAGCUUGCCUAGAUGAAUUUGGUGCUUGCACCAAAUGAAACUAGAUACAAGCGAGCGGCGGACGGGUGAGUAACACGUGGGUAACCUGCCCAAGAGACUGGGAUAACACCUGGAAACAGAUGCUAAUACCGGAUAACAACACUAGACGCAUGUCUAGAGUUUAAAAGAUGGUUCUGCUAUCACUCUUGGAUGGACCUGCGGUGCAUUAGCUAGUUGGUAGGUAACGGCUUACCAAGGCAAUGAUGCAUAGCCGAGUUGAGAGACUGAUCGGCCACGUUGGGACUGAGACACGGCCCAAACUCCUACGGGAGGCAGCAGUAGGGAAUCUUCCACAAUGGACGCAAGUCUGAUGGAGCAACGCCGCGUGAGUGAAGAAGGGUUUCGGCUCGUAAAGCUCUGUUGGUAGUGAAGAAAGAUAGAGGUAGUAACUGGCCUUUAUU